UACGUAGGGGGCGAGCGUUAUCCGGAGUUACUGGGCGUAAAGCGCACGCAGGCGGUCGUGCAAGUUUGGGGUUACAGCUCCCGGCUCAACUGGGAGAGCGCCUUGAAGACUGCGCGACUUGAGGGCCAAAGAGGGACACAGAAUUCCGGGUGUAGUGGUGAAAUGCGUAGAUAUCCGGAGGAAUACCAAAGGCGAAGGCAGUGUCCUGGGUGGUACCUGACGCUCAGGUGCGAAAGCUAGGGGAGCGAACGG
rnacentral:rRNA from 1 species